UUAAUUAAAACCAAAACUGAGGUAUAUUAUUGUUAAUAAUAUCAUUGAUAAACUAUCUAAUUAAA
rnacentral:tRNA from 1 species